rnacentral:misc_RNA from 1 species
GAUGAAGAACGUAGCGAAAUGCGAUACUUGGUGUGAAUUGCAGAAUCCCGUGAACCAUCGAGUCUUUGAACGCAAGUUGCGCCCGAAGCCAUUUGGUUGAGGGCACGUCUGCCUGGGCGUCACAUAUCGUUGCCCGAUGCCUAUUGCACAGUGAUAGGAAAUUCUAGGGCGAAAGAUGGCUUCCCGUGAGCGUUGUUGCCUCGCGGUUGGUUGAAAAUCAAGUCCUUGGUAGGGUGUGCCAUGAUAGAUGGUGGUCGAGUUUGCACGAGACCGAUCAUGUGUGCGCUCCCCAAAAUAUGGACUCUUUGACCCCACACGCGUCUUUUGACGCUCAUGACGAGACCUCAGGUCAGGCGGGGCUACCCGCUGAGUUUAAGCAUAUCAAUAAGCGGAGGA